rnacentral:rRNA from 1 species
UUGAACGCUGGCGGCAGGCCUAACACAUGCAAGUCGAACGGUAACAGAAAGCAGCUUGCUGCUUUGCUGACGAGUGGCGGACGGGUGAGUAAUGUCUGGGAAACUGCCUGAUGGAGGGGGAUAACUACUGGAAACGGUAGCUAAUACCGCAUAACGUCGCAAGACCAAAGAGGGGGACCUUAGGGCCUCUUGCCAUCGGAUGUGCCCAGAUGGGAUUAGCUAGUAGGUGGGGUAAAGGCUCACCUAGGCGACGAUCCCUAGCUGGUCUGAGAGGAUGACCAGCCACACUGGAACUGAGACACGGUCCAGACUCCUACGGGAGGCAGCAGUGGGGAAUAUUGCACAAUGGGCGCAAGCCUGAUGCAGCCAUGCCGCGUGUAUGAAGAAGGCCUUCGGGUUGUAAAGUACUUUCAGCGGGGAGGAAGGGAGUAAAGUUAAUACCUUUGCUCAUUGACGUUACCCGCAGAAGAAGCACCGGCUAACUCCGUGCCAGCAGCCGCGGUAAUACGGAGGGUGCAAGCGUUAAUCGGAAUUACUGGGCGUAAAGCGCACGCAGGCGGUUUGUUAAGUCAGAUGUGAAAUCCCCGGGCUCAACCUGGGAACUGCAUCUGAUACUGGCAAGCUUGAGUCUCGUAGAGGGGGGUAGAAUUCCAGGUGUAGCGGUGAAAUGCGUAGAGAUCUGGAGGAAUACCGGUGGCGAAGGCGGCCCCCUGGACGAAGACUGACGCUCAGGUGCGAAAGCGUGGGGAGCAAACAGGAUUAGAUACCCUGGUAGUCCACGCCGUAAACGAUGUCGACUUGGAGGUUGUGCCCUUGAGGCGUGGCUUCCGGAGCUAACGCGUUAAGUCGACCGCCUGGGGAGUACGGCCGCAAGGUUAAAACUCAAAUGAAUUGACGGGGGCCCGCACAAGCGGUGGAGCAUGUGGUUUAAUUCGAUGCAACGCGAAGAACCUUACCUGGUCUUGACAUCCACGGAAGUUUUCAGAGAUGAGAAUGUGCCUUCGGGAACCGUGAGACAGGUGCUGCAUGGCUGUCGUCAGCUCGUGUUGUGAAAUGUUGGGUUAAGUCCCGCAACGAGCGCAACCCUUAUCCUUUGUUGCCAGCGGUCCGGCCGGGAACUCAAAGGAGACUGCCAGUGAUAAACUGGAGGAAGGUGGGGUUGACGUCAAGUCAUCAUGGCCCUUACGACCAGGGCUACACACGUGCUACAAUGGCGCAUACAAAGAGAAGCGACCUCGCGAGAGCAAGCGGACCUCAUAAAGUGCGUCGUAGUCCGGAUUGGAGUCUGCAACUCGACUCCAUGAAGUCGGAAUCGCUAGUAAUCGUGGAUCAGAAUGCCACGGUGAAUACGUUCCCGGGCCUUGUACACACCGCCCGUCACACCAUGGGAGUGGGUUGCAAAAGAAGUAGGUAGCUUAACCUUCGGGAGGGCGCUUACCACUUUGUGAUUCAUGACUGGGGUG